UACGGAGGGGGCAAGCGUUGUUCGGAAUUACUGGGCGUAAAGGGCGCGUAGGCGGCCUGCUGCGUCGGAUGUGAAAGCCCCGGGCUUAACCUGGGAGGUGCAUUCGAUACGGGCGGGCUGGAAUCCGGGAGAGGAUGGUGGAAUUCCCAGUGUAGAGGUGAAAUUCGUAGAUAUUGGGAAGAACACCGAUGGCGAAGGCAGCCAUCUGGACCGGUAUUGACGCUGAGGCGCGAAAGCGUGGGGAGCAAACAGG
rnacentral:rRNA from 1 species